rnacentral:rRNA from 1 species
UACGAAGGGUGCAAGCGUUACUCGGAAUUACUGGGCGUAAAGCGUGCGUAGGUGGUUCGUUAAGUCUGAUGUGAAAGCCCUGGGCUCAACCUAGGAAGUGCACUCGAAACUGCCUCGCUGGAGUGCCGGAGAGGAAAGCGGAAUUCUCGGUGUAGAGGUGAAAUUCGUAGAUAUCGAGAGGAACACCGGUGGCGAAGGCGGCUUUCUGGACGGUUACUGACGCUGAGACGCGAAAGCGUGGGGAGCAAACAGG